rnacentral:rRNA from 1 species
UCAGACGAUGCGUCAUGCAUAUCAAUAAGCGGAGGAAAAGAAACUAACAAGGAUUCCCCUAGUAACGGCGAGUGAAGCGGGAAGAGCUCAAAUUUGAAAUCUUCAAGGUUUGACCUUGACGAAUUGUAGUUUAAAGAAGUGUUUUCGGUUAGAGGAGUGGUAAAAGUUCUUUGGAAUAGGACAUCAUAGAGGGUGAGAAUCCCGUAUUUGACCAUUAUCUCCAGCUUUGUGAUACACUUUCAAAGAGUCGGAUUGUUUGGGAAUGCAGUCCAAAAUGGGUGGUAAAUUUCAUCUAAAGCUAAAUAUUGGCGAGAGACCGAUAGCGAACAAGUACCGUGAGGGAAAGAUGAAAAGAACUUUGAAAAGAGAGUUAAACAGUACGUGAAAUUGUCAAAAGGGAAGCGUUUGACACCAGUGUUGUUUUCUCGAAAAUCAAUUAAAAAGAGUUGGAUUUUGUGUUGUAUUGACCUUAACAGCUUGCUUCACUCUUUUCCUGCUUUUUUUAAUGCACUUUUCGUUUAACAAGUCAACAUCAGUUUCUUUUGUUGUAAAAGGGUCAUUGGUAAGGUGGCUUUCUCUUCGGAGAAAGUGUUUAUAGCCUUUGAUCUCUGCAAUCGGAGAGACUGAGGUCUGCAGCGUAGAUCCUUCGGGGUUAGAUACAUUCGUGCUAAGCUACAGCUUUUCAUAGACAACUUGUUGACUAUGUUUAGUCUUGUAACUUACCCGCUUAUGCUAUUUUACCUACGCUUAGGAUGUUGAUAUGCAUGACUGAUAU